rnacentral:piRNA from 1 species
UCGUCACUUAAAAAACCCCUAAAUCUUGUGU